GAAAAGCAUUUCUGUAAUAGAGACCAAGGGAGUGAGCAAAGGAAGUUUUCUUCAGCACUUAAGAAAGAGGAAAACCCUAAAUUCGCUUGUUCAGCCUAAACCAGCCUAAAAUUCCCACGUAUUUCUGUUCUGCUCUUAGGGAAGACUAUUUGAAGACUCAUAACCAAGAGAAACGCUUGGAACUACAUUUCUCCAUGAUAAGGCCUUUUAAAAAUUCUGUUUGGACAGCAUCUCUACAGAACUGCCACUGUGCUGAACAAGGCUUGGUGGAAAAAUUACUCUGCUGAGAUAAGCUCUUAAUUAAUGCACAGAGAUCCUGAAAGUCCCACCUCUCAACAGUAAUGACUGACAUCCAAGGAUACAUAAACUGCACUAAUUGAGCUUUCCAUCUAUGAACUUUUCUGCAGCCAACUCAUCAGAAAAGAUACUCUGUGUCGCAGCGCAGGCUCUAGAGCAUGCUCUUUCCAUGGAAUCGUUCCUUUCUCUCAUGACUGAGGCUGCUGAGAAUGCAGACUUUUGCAGAUGA
rnacentral:lncRNA from 1 species